AUACCCGGUCCCAUUUCGAACCCGGUCGUUAAGCUUCUCAGCGCCGAUGGUACUGCCCUGUUGGGUGGGAGAGUAGGUCGCCGCCGAAC
rnacentral:rRNA from 1 species